rnacentral:rRNA from 1 species
UACGUAGGGUGCAAGCGUUAAUCGGAAUACUGGGCGUAAAGCGUGCGCAGGCGGUGAUGUAAGACAGAUGUGAAAUCCCCGGGCUCAACCUGGGAACUGCAUUUGUGACUGCAUCGCUGGAGUGCGGCAGAGGGGGAUGGAAUUCCGCGUGUAGCAGUGAAAUGCGUAGAUAUGCGGAGGAACACCGAUGGCGAAGGCAAUCCCCUGGGCCUGCACUGACGCUCCAUGCACGAAGCGUGGGAGCAACAGG